AGAACGAACGCUGGCGGCAGGCUUAACACAUGCAAGUCGAACGGUUGUAGCAAUACAGCAGUGGCAGACGGGUGAGUAACACGUGGGAACCUUCCUAGGGGUACGGAACAACUCAGGGAAACUUGAGCUAAUACCGUAUACGUCCGUGAGGAGAAAGUUUUAACGCCCCUAGACGGGCCCGCGUAGGAUUAGGUAGUUGGUGAGGUAACGGCUCACCAAGCCUACGAUCCUUAGCUGAUCUGAGAGGAUGAUCAGCCACACUGGGACUGAGACACGGCCCAGACUCCUACGGGAGGCAGCAGUGGGGAAUCUUGGACAAUGGGCGCAAGCCUGAUCCAGCCAUGCCGCGUGAGUGAAGAAGGCCUUCGGGUUGUAAACUCCUGUCAUUUGAGAACAAGGUACGAGUAUUAACUGUCCUCGUAUUGAUAGUAUCAGAAGAGGAAGGGACGGCUAACUCUGUACCAGCAGCCGC
rnacentral:rRNA from 1 species